rnacentral:lncRNA from 1 species
UUUCAACCAUGAAUUGAACAGUUAGAACUUUCUCAAAAUAUCUUUGUGGGAUCCCUUCACAUGCCACUGUUAACACAUGCCUUAAAUGAUCCACUUCCAGGACCCAAAAGAGAAAAGGAGCCAGGUCUGUGCAUUUUGAUUUGCUGAUAGUUUGCUGUUCUGAAUAUAGCUAUAAUGGCUUUUUUAUGACGGUUAAGAAACAUUUGUCCAUUUCUCAGGUUUCUUGGCUUCUCCAUAUAUAGUGAUGGUGUCAUUACUAAGCAAAUUCAUUUUGGAGAGAAAUCCAUUGAAUGGCACAUGGAAUUAAUCGGUG